rnacentral:rRNA from 1 species
UAUUGGGCAAUGGGCGCAAGCCUGACCCAGCAACGCCGCGUGAAGGAAGAAGGCUUUCGGGUUGUAAACUUCUUUUGACAGGGAAGAGCAGAAGACGGUACCUGUCGAAUAAGCCACGGCUAACUACGUGCCAGCAGCCGCGGUAAUACGUAGGUGGCAAGCGUUGUCCGGAUUUACUGGGUGUAAAGGGCGUGUAGCCGGGCUGACAAGUCAGAUGUGAAAUCCGGGGGCUCAACCCCCGAACUGCAUUUGAAACUGUUUCCCUUGAGUGUCGGAGAGGUAAUCGGAAUUCCUUGUGUAGCGGUGAAAUGCGUAGAUAUAAGGAAGAACACCAGUGGCGAAGGCGGAUUACUGGACGAUAACUGACGGUGAGGCGCGAAAGCGUGGGGAGCAAACAG